rnacentral:miRNA from 1 species
CUAUAUAAUCUACUGCCUUGCCC